rfam:Chitinimonas taiwanensis DSM 18899 genome assembly, contig: Ga0002118_scaffold00010.10
GGGGUCGACAUGGCUUCGACGGGGGUUGCAAAGCGGAUGAGGGCAUGCCGGGAUCUCAGAACCCCGUUAAACGCUGAAUCGAUUUAGUCGCAAACGACGAAUCCUACGCACUGGCCGCUUAAUCCCGGCUAGUCGCUGCACUGGUUCUCUCAUGGGCCAGGCCGGGCAACCGGCAGCAGCGUUAUUAACAUGAGAUCGCCCUGCAGCGGGCUACUUGUUGCAGGGUUAAAUCUAGGUGGCUCGCGUAUGCCAAGCCUGUCGGUCGGCGUGUCAGACGUUAAAACCAAAUGGCUAGACUAAGCAUGUAGAACUCACUGUAGAGUGCUUCCGGACGCGGGUUCGAUUCCCGCCGGCUCCACCA